rnacentral:rRNA from 1 species
GACGAACGCUGGCGGCGUGCCUAAUACAUGCAAGUCGAACGCAUUGUCUUUCAACUUGGCUUGCUACAGAGAAAGGAAGUGGGGGGCGAAACGGGGAGAAACACUUCGUUAACCUGGGCAACAGCGGGGGAAAACAGGCGGAAACAGGUGAUAAUAUCGUGUAACUCCAUUUACCGCAGGGAAGUUCGGUGGUAGGGGCUGUUGUGGCGGUGUCGGAUGUACAUGCGGUGGAUGAGCUAGAUCGUGGGGUUAAGGCCUAGCAAGGCUGCGAUGCUUAGCCGACCUGGUGGGGUGGUCGGCCACACUGGGACUGAGACACGGCCCAGACUCCUACGGGAGGCAGCAGUAGGGAAUCGUCGGGAAGGGGCGCAAGUCUGACCGAGCAACGCCGAGUGAGUGAAGAACGUUUUCGGGUUGGAAAACUCUGUUGUUAGGGAAGAACGAGGUUGAGAGUGGAAAGUUCAUCCCUUGACGGUAACUAAUAAGAAAGCCACGGCUAACUACGUG